rnacentral:misc_RNA from 1 species
UCACCUCUCAAGCCCGGCUUGCUGUUGGACUCUCGGACCUCUCUCCCGAGAGGUCGGUCCCAAAGAUAAUGACGGUGUCGUCGAGGACCCCAGUACACUGAGCUAUCGUCUAGCACGUACGAGGCGGAAGUCGCGACCCGGUCUAAUCCAUUUUCAUUUUAUCAA